rnacentral:rRNA from 1 species
AUUGAACGCUGGCGGCAGGCCUAACACAUGCAAGUCGAACGGCAGCGGGGGAUAGCUUGCUAUCCUGCCGGCGAGUGGCGGACGGGUGAGUAAUGCAUGGGGAGCUGCCCAGUCGAGGGGGAUAACAACUGGAAACGGUUGCUAAUACCACAUACGCCCUAAGGGGGAAAGGUGGGGAACUUCGGUCCUACCGCGAUUGGAUGCGCCCAUGUGGGAUUAGCUAGUUGGUGAGGUAACGGCUCACCAAGGCGACGAUCUCUAGCUGGUCUGAGAGGAUGACCAGCCACACUGGAACUGAGACACGGUCCAGACUCCUACGGGGGGCAGCAGUGGGGAAUAUUGCACAAUGGGGGAAACCCUGAUGCAGCCAUGCCGCGUGUGUGAAGAAGGCCUUCGGGUUGUAAAGCACUUUCAGUCAGGAGGAAGGGGUGAUGGCUAAUAUCCAUCAUCAUUGACGUUACUGACAGAAGAAGCACCGGCUAACUCCGUGCCAGCCGCCGCGGUAA